ensembl:snoRNA
AUUCUUCCAUUUCCCAUUGGAUCUGAACACUGGUCUUGGUGGUUAAAAAGGAGAGAAAGUGAUACUGAAGCUAACUAGUUCAUGCACUGCAUUGUAGUCUGGCAUAGCAUGUGGGCUGGAUUCAAACAGGA